rnacentral:lncRNA from 1 species
ACCGGAUCCAUAGAAAAUGCUUACCACAUGCUAAGUAUCAGCAUUACUAUCUUUUUAGGUCUUGCAUUUUAAAAAUGGCAAGCCUGUCCCCUUUGUGCUUGAUAAGAACCCCUGAUGCUCAUGUGUUUGAAUUCAUUCCUGGUCUCCUCUCUCUUCGCCCUGCCUCAGAUCUGACAGUGGAUGCUCCUUGUCCAGGACCAACCUUGUCUCUCUCUACACCUCUGAUAUGCCAGGAGACAAACUGCAUCAUCUGCCUCCAGCUCUUGGACUCCACGCUGGUCCUGGAAGGUAGGACAACAAAGUCACUGUUGGAACACAGGAAGCUGAGUGAGUCCAAAACCAGUUGUUUAUGUCCAUUGACUCUCAGAUUGACCAUGGAAGAAAUCGUGCUUACUAGAAAAUGGACCAUGGGCCUGGAGUUGGAAAACCAAACAAACAGCAGCAACAAAAAAGCUGUACCUUUUUUUUUUUUUUAGAUUCCACAAAUAAGUAACAUUAUAUAUUUGUCUUUCUCUGUCUGACUUACUUCACCCAGUAUGACAAUCUUGGUGCAUCCAUGGUGCUGCAAAAAGCAUUAUUUUAUUCUUUUUUAUGGCUGAGUAAUAUUCCAUUGUAUAUAUAUGUGCCACAUCUUCUUUAUCUAUUCCUCUGUGGAUGGACACUUAGGUUGCUUCCAUGUUCUAGCUAUUGUAGAUAGUCCUGCAAUGAACAUUGGGGUACAUGUAUCUUUUCCCAAUUAUGGUUUUCUCCAUGUAUAUGCCCAGGAGUGAGAUUGCUAGAGGAACCAAAUACAUGUGGUUUGUUUGUUUACCCUUUCUUGCUUCAAGCUGUUGUUUUGUUGCUGGAUAUACAGCCUGAUAAGAUCUUGGUAAAAAUCAGUUGGAUAUUAGAAAAUAUAACCAAGAACACAUCGCAUAUUCCAGUUGGAUGAAAAUUUAUACACAACCGGUGUCAGUUUCCUCUCCUAAAUCAGAAAUCGCUUCUGUCCAUUCAAUUCUUUCUCCCCUUGACAUCUGAGUUUCUACUCAGUCCCAGGCAUUAUGAUGGGCAAUGUGUCUAAAGAGCUAAACAACUGAGAACAAAAGAAGUUUAUCAUAUAGAUGCAGAAAGAGGCAGGUUAACAGGUAACCUGUAAAAUCUGGGGAGGUCAAGUUCAAGACACUGAAUUUAGGCUGGACCAUGAAGGUGAUCACAGACUUUCUCAAGUAGGGACAACUGAGAUGGAUCUUGACGGAUGUGUAGGAGUUUUCCCCUAUCCAGCGAAGGAGUUUUCC